rnacentral:rRNA from 1 species
GACGAACGCUGGCGGCGUGCUUAACACAUGCAAGUCGAACGGAAAGGCCCUGCUUUUGUGGGGUGCUCGAGUGGCGAACGGGUGAGUAACACGUGAGUAACCUGCCCUUGUCUUUGGGAUAACUUCAGGAAACUGGGGCUACUACCGGAUAGGAGCUCCUGCUGCAUGGUGGGGGUUGGAAAGUUUCGGCGGUUGGGGAUGGACUCGCGGCUGAUCAGCUUGUUGGUGGGGGAGUGGCUUACCAAGCCUUUGACGGAUAGCCGGCCUGGGAGGGUGAACGGCGACAAUAGGACUGAGGUACGGCGCAGACUCCUACGGGAGGCAGAAGUGGGGAAUAUUGCACAAUGGGCGGAAGCCUGAUGCAGCAACGCCGCGUGCGGGAUGACGGCCUUCGGGUUGUAAACCGCAUUCGCCUGUGACGAAGCGUGAGUGACGGUAAUGGGUAAAGAAGCACCGGCUAACUACGUG